rnacentral:rRNA from 1 species
UCGCCAGGGAACUACGAGCUAAGCUUAAAACCCAAAGGACUUGACGGUACCCCACAUCCCCCUAGAGGAGCCUGUUCUAUAAUCGAUAAUCCGCGUUUAACCUCACCAUUUCUAGCUAUCAGCCUGUAUACCUCCGUCGUCAGCCUACCACGUGAGCGCUAACACAGUAAGCUUAAUGUUAUUUCACCCACACGUCAGGUCAAGGUGCAGCUAAUGAAAAGGAAAGAAAUGGGCUACACUUUCUACACUAGAAAACACGAAAAACUACUAUGAAAUCUAGUUUAAAGGCGGAUUUAGAAGUAAAAAGGAAUCAGCAUGUCCAUUUUAACUCGGCACUGGGGUGUGUACACACCGCCCGGUCACCCUCA